rnacentral:rRNA from 1 species
AUGCAAGUCGCACGGAGCUUCGGCUCAGUGGCAGACGGCUGAGUAACGCGUAGGAAUCUACCUCUCGGUGGGGAAUAACGGGCCGAAAGGUCCGCUAAUACCGCAUACGACCCCGCGCAAGCGGGAGGAAAGCCUUCGGGUGCCGAGAGAGGAGCCUGCGUCCGAUUAGCUAGUUGGUGGGGUAACGGCCUACCAAGGCGAUGAUCGGUAGCUGGUCUGAGAGGAUGACCAGCCAGACUGGGACUGGGACACGGCCCAGACUCCUACGGGAGGCAGCAGUUAGGAAUUUUGGGCAAUGGCCGCAAGGCUGACCCAGCAACGCCGCGUGGGGGACGAAGGCCUUCGGGUUGUAAACCCCUUUUGUCGGGGACGAUGAUGACGGUACCCGACGAAGAAGCCCCGGCUAACUACGUGCCAGCAGCCGCGGUAAUACGUAGGGGGCGAGCGUUGUCCGGAUUCAUUGGGCGUAAAGCGCGCGUAGGCGGCUUCGCAAGUCGGCCGUGAAAUCUCCAGGCUCAACUUGGAGGGGUCGGGCGAGACUGCGCGGCUCGAGGUGG